AUUAACUUCAGACCAGUGAGCUCCAGAUAAGGCAUGGCCCUUUGGUGGUUCAGCCCUUCUCUCCAACCAUGCAUUAUCUUGGCCAGAGGCCAACAGUUCAGGAAUAAACUUUUCUCCCUUGCCUGAAUAC